AGAGUCGGCUGAGCAGUCGCUGUUUUAUCGCCACGAUAAAAUGGAGGAAAGUCCGGGCUCCAUUGGGCAGGGUGCCAGGUAACGCCUGGGGGGCGUGAGCCUACGGAAAGUGCCGCAGAAAAUAUACCGCCCAACCCCUGGAUAUUUAGUGCCAUAAGAUCAUAUGGAUAAUGGAUUAUGGUUGCCAGAUGAUUCAGAGGUUGGGUAAGGGUGAAAAGGUGCGGUAAGAGCGCACCGCGCAACUGGUAACAGAAGUGGCAUGGUAAACCCCACCCGGAGCAAGAUCAAAUAGAGGAACAGACGCGCGGCCCGCGCGGUUCCCGGGUAGAUUGCUUGAGCUGCAAGGUGACUUGCAGCCUAGAUGAAUGGCUGUUCUCGACAGAACCCGGCUUACAGGCCGACUCUUUCU
rnacentral:RNase_P_RNA from 1 species